CCAAUUCUCUUCUUUCCCCUUCAAUCCCCUCCUACCCACGCGUUUCAGGACCCUCGUCGAGGGGCUCGCGGAAGCACAUCCCCGAGCGCAGCGCACGCCUCAUCCACCCCGCCGCCACCAGCUUCUCCACGCGCCACCGUCCGCAGCCUCCUCCACGCCGGCCUGAGUGCCUCCCUUCCUUUUCUCUGAUGAAUUUGCAGGAGCAUCUGGAGGUCAACCUGAUCUUAUUUUAGUCCAAUUAUUGCUUGGCUCUUUGGUUGCAAGAACUGAAUUUGUGAUUCCUCUUGUAAACCGAGACUUCAAAAGUAAUGAAAUUAUUUCUGCUGUGA